ACAGAGGGUGCGAGCGUUGUCCGGAAUCACUGGGCGUAAAGGGCGCGUAGGUGGCCUGAUAAGUAGGGGGUGAAAUCUCGAGGCUCAUCUUCGAGGCUGCCUCCUAAACUGUCGGGCUUGAGCAGAGUAGAGGCAGGUGGAAUUCCCGGUGUAGCGGUGGAAUGCGUAGAGAUCGGGAAGAACAUCGGUGGCGAAGGCGGCCUGCUGGGCUCUUGCUGACACUGAGGUGCGACAGCGUGGGGAGCAAACAGGA
rnacentral:rRNA from 1 species